CCUGUUUUAAAGAGGAAAAGAUGUCAGAAUACUGAAGAAGAAGACAGAGAGUUACUAUCUGUGAUUGUUGAUCUGGAGAAAAAUGUUUAUACACUGGAGCAGGCAAUUACAUCAGAGACUUUAUCCUCAGUAUUCAAAAACAGAUUAAAAAUGGUCAGCUCUAAAUUGUUGACUUUGAUAGAUAAAACUUAAUAUUUUUCACCAAGAGUUGAAAUGUAGGUGUGUAUUGAGCCUAUAUUGUUCAGCUACGAAAUUGCUAAUUAUUUCUAUGAAUGUGUUUUUACUAAAUUUUUAAUUGCAAUAAAAGUUAAAACA